GAGUUUGAUCAUGGCUCAGAUUGAACGCUGGCGGCAGGCCUAACACAUGCAAGUCGGGCGGUAGAGAGAAGCUUGCUUCUCUUGAGAGCGGCGGACGGGUGAGUAAUGCCUAGGAAUCUGCCUGGUAGUGGGGGAUAACGCUCGGAAACGGACGCUAAUACCGCAUACGUCCUACGGGAGAAAGCAGGGGACCUUCGGGCCUUGCGCUAUCAGAUGAGCCUAGGUCGGAUUAGCUAGUUGGUGAGGUAAUGGCUCACCAAGGCGACGAUCCGUAACUGGUCUGAGAGGAUGAUCAGUCACACUGGAACUGAGACACGGUCCAGACUCCUACGGGAGGCAGCAGUGGGGAAUAUUGGACAAUGGGCGAAAGCCUGAUCCAGCCAUGCCGCGUGUGUGAAGAAGGUCUUCGGAUUGUAAAGCACUUUAAGUUGGGAGGAAGGGCAGUAAAUUAAUACUUUGCUGUUUUGACGUUACCGACAGAAUAAGCACCGGCUAACUCUGUGCCAGCCG
rnacentral:rRNA from 1 species